UGAAUUGGUCACAAUUCUGCAAUAGUGUACUUUUCCAAUUCGACUCAGACACUUUGCUUUUCCGUAGUCACACGAUUUCUCUCUUGGCUCGGAGCUCCUACACUACCUAGUUGUAGAGAGCGCGUUCUUUGAAGUACAGCUGGCAAGAGCAAGCAGCCAAUCUAAGCGCUGGAUUCUUGGCAAGAGGACGACGUCAGCCAAUGAGAGAUUCGACCAAGGACAGAAACGCUAAAGCUUCAUGUCAAUCAAUAACUCUUGUGCGGAUUUGACUGUCAAGCAAGGUACGAUUUGGUAUUUUUAUACAUGUUAUGUAUUCUCCCAUCAAGGCUCAAUGUGCUCUUUAUUGUAGAAUCGAGAUCAUUUUGGUUUAAGCUAGUUCUCUGCAAGAGGAAUGGAAACGUCUUCAUAGGCGCAGGGCAUGUGCUUGCUUACACCAUCCAUGAAGUUAAGCAGAAGUUCCCAUGCACUCACCAGGGGGCCAGAAGUGCAAUAAACGGACCCAUUAUCAAUAAACAAUGGCUGACUAAAGUGAAGACGCUUACAAUACAAGGUAUGUCAUACAACAGGUGAAUUAUCUUAAAAGUUUCCAUAGGCUCAAGCGGUGUUGCCAUGUGUGCGUUUAAGAGGCUAUUGGGGACUUGUUUUUAAUCUGUGUGUGUGCGCGCGUGUGUGCGUGGAGUGCGCUCGCGCCCGUCCCCCUGCCUGUCUGUGCCAAUUUACGCGCGUGUGUUGAGGCUGUACAGUGGGGCUUUUCGGUUAAUUAAAAAGUGACAAUUAACUCGAUGAGUGGUUGGUGUUCUAAGUGCUACAGCCUGGAAACUAAAAAUAUUUGAAAAAUAUUGCAGUCAUAAUAAUCACGAGAUGUUGUUUCCCUCAUGUCAGCCUGGCGAAUGCAUUUCAUUCAACGAUGCAGGCUGAUUUAAUAUGGCACAAUGAAACCAUAGAGCAUUCCACACUAAAGAUUUAGGCCAACUGAAUUAUAACGUUUGGAGAUACAAUUGAACCAUUGAAAAAACAUGUGGAGCGCAUCAACAUUAACUUUUUCUUUCGCCAAAUUACUAUAUAUUGUUUUCUUCCUCUGGAAUUUAUAAAGAUCACAAUGCAAUAUAUGUCAACGUGUUUCACAGCUUGUAAAACAUUUAGGGGUAAUGACAUAAUGUAACAAUGGCCUGCUUUGGUGUGACUCUUCAUCCCUUAAAAAGGUAAAGCAAUUUUCCAUAGAAAGGCUUCGCCAAAAGCUGUGUAUUACAGUAUUCAAAACGAGCGAAUAAUGCACCAUUAUUGAGCUUGAAUGCUGCCAGUCAACCAAGCGCAAUUUGUUCAAAGGCUUCCUCUGCUUUAAUUCCCCACCUUUUGAGCGGCGAAUAUAAAACAAUUUCAUCAAAUCCAACGAACGGAGCCAAGAAAAGUGCUUCAUUUUUGCAAUCAUUGCAAUUUUAGUGGUGUGCUAUUAGCACUAUUAAAUGU
rnacentral:lncRNA from 1 species